GAUGAAGAACGCAGCGAAAUGCGAUAAGUAAUGUGAAUUGCAGAAUUCAGUGAAUCAUCGAAUCUUUGAACGCACAUUGCGCCCUCUGGUAUUCCGGGGGGCAUGCCUGUUCGAGCGUCAUUAUAACCACUCAAGCUCUCGCUUGGUAUUGGGGUUCGCGGUUCCGCGGCCCCUAAAAUCAGUGGCGGUGCCUGUCGGCUCUACGCGUAGUAAUACUCCUCGCGAUUGAGUCCGGUAGGUCUACUUGCCAGCAACCCCCAAUUUUUACAGGUUGACCUCGGAUCAGGUAGGGAUACCCGCUGAACUUAAGCAUAUCAAUAAGCGGGGA
rnacentral:misc_RNA from 1 species